rnacentral:rRNA from 1 species
GUGGGGAAUCUUCCGCAAUGGACGAAAGUCUGACGGAGCAACGCCGCGUGAGUGAAGAAGGUUUUCGGAUCGUAAAGCUCUUUCGUUAGGGACGAACGUGCUCUUUGUGAAUAAUGAGGAGUAAUGACGGUACCUAAAUAAGAAGCCACGGCUAACUACGUGCCAGCAGCCGCGGUAAUACGUAGGUGGCAAGCGUUGUCCGGAAUUAUUGGGCGUAAAGCGCGCGCAGGCGGGAUAUCAAGUCUGUCGUAAAAGUGCGAGGCUCAACCUCGUGAGGGGACAGAAACUGGUAUUCUUGAGUGUCGGAGAGGAAAGUGGAAUUCCAAGUGUAGCGGUGAAAUGCGUAGAGAUUUGGAAGAACACCAGUGGCGAAGGCGACUUUCUGGACGAUGUCUGACGCUGAGGCGCGAAAGCUAGGGGAGCGAACGGGAUUAGAAACCCCGGUAGUCC